rnacentral:rRNA from 1 species
AGUGAACGCUGGCGGUAGGCCUAACACAUGCAAGUCGAACGGCAGCACAGUAAGAGCUUGCUCUUACGGGUGGCGAGUGGCGGACGGGUGAGGAAUACGUCGGAAUCUACUUUUUCGUGGGGGAUAACGUAGGGAAACUUACGCUAAUACCGCAUACGACCUACGGGUGAAAGCAGGGGAUCUUCGGACCUUGCGCGAUUGAUUGAGCCGAUGUCGGAUUAGCUAGUUGGCGGGGUAAAGGCCCACCAAGGCGACGAUCCGUAGCUGGUCUGAGAGGAUGAUCAGCCACACUGGAACUGAGACACGGUCCAGACUCCUACGGGAGGCAGCAGUGGGGAAUAUUGGACAAUGGGCGCAAGCCUGAUCCAGCCAUACCGCGUGGGUGAAGAAGGCCUUCGGGUUGUAAAGCCCUUUUGUUGGGAAAGAAAAGCAGCAGGUUAAUACCCCGCUGUUCUGACGGUACCCAAAGAAUAAGCACCGGCUAACUUCGUG